GCACCGUCAGCGAAGAUGCUACAUCUUCAUUGGCGGCCCGCUUUACUUAGCCGCCAGCGAAAAUCUAUUUUUGCUGGCGGUUCAUAGCCUCACACCCCUCGUUACAUUUUUGCUAGCGAUUUUUGCAUAUGGCCGCCAGAUAAAAUGAUAGUGUGACGCCAUGAAAAAUCUUUUUUCUAGUUGUGUUCUCAAAGACCAUAAAAUUUCUCUGAUCAUAUAUAUUGUGACCUCAGUGGCACAUUGUGAUAGCAGAAACCUUUCGAUCAAAAUGUGCAUCGCAUCAUCCAUCAACACAUUUCGUGCAGUCCACUAGUACGUUAGCCAUCUGUACCAAUGAAUUUUUACCUACACAAGCCAUGCAGAUAGUUUUGUGGGUCAACAAUAAUUUUUACCUACUAAGAAUUUUAAGACUGGGAGGCAUCGGUAAAUUAUAUAUCCAUCUCAGUUUUUCUCAGGUGGCCGUGCUGCUAACAUGAAUCUGUGGCAUAUGGUCAGAGAGAGCACAAGAUUAUUUCUGCUGCUCCACUUUCGUUGGGUGCUUCUUGCCACUGAAUCAAAUGGUGCAAACAAAGAAGUGAAGCAAAACACGAAGCAUCAGUUCCUGACUGCUCGACAAACUGUAAAUUAACCGGGUACAGCAGGAAAUAAACGUAGGAGAGCAGAUGCUGAUGAGCUGACUUCCCUUGAUUUCAAUAUUUGAACAAGGCCUAUGUAAAAAUAGACUAUGUACAAUUUGUUCUGACACGUUAAUUGUGAAUAGUUAGUAGAGCUC